rnacentral:rRNA from 1 species
AUGGAUGCUGCAUCCUUCCCCAGCAGGCUGCCAAUGGCUGCGUGCCUGCACCCUGCUGCUUCUGUGCCGGUGCCGGCCACCGCGCCCAGUCGCCACGGCCAGCGGCAGCAGUCUCCUCGGCGGACGGCAGUGUGCAGGUGUGCACCCUGGCACUGGGGACUAGAGACGUGCAGCAUAGAAGGCCAGCAGCUAGGAGCUGAGCAGCUGCACACAGAGCCGGAGCGAGCAACGGACCUUUUCUCGCAGAAGGUGAAGAGGUCGUCGUUCAGCACGUCGGACAAGGUUCUUCAGCUGUCGGACGAGGUGGAGGCAUGCUUCCUGUAG